rnacentral:rRNA from 1 species
UACCAGCACCCCGAGUGGUCGGGACGUUUAUUGGGCCUAAAGCAUCCGUAGCCGGUUCUACAAGUCUUCCGUUAAAUCCAACUGCUUAACAGGUGGGCUGCGGAAGAUACUAUAGAGCUAGGAGGCGGGAGAGGCAAGCGGUACUCGAUGGGUAGGGGUAAAAUCCUUUGAUCCAUUGAAGACCACCAGUGGCGAAGGCGGCUUGCCAGAACGCGCUCGACGGUGAGGGAUGAAAGCUGGGGGAGCAAACCGG